GGAUGAGAAGAUGAUCUGUCUGUGACAGAUGUCAUCCCAUGGGCUAUCAGCACUGACUCAGAUGCUCUGGAUGGUUAGGCAGGUAUCUCUGUCCUCUCCCAAUGCUCCAUGUGCAUUCUUCCUAAAGCCGUGUGCUCAGUCAGAGAGGACAACCACCCCCAAGAGAGGAGGACUAUUCUCUGUCACAACUAGCUGAGUGCCCCUGCUAGAACCUCCAAACAAACUCAAGAAAUAACCCUGCUCAUCAUGCAUAUAUGAUGUGGAACAAAAUUCUUUAUGGUUAAAAUAACCAUAAGG
rnacentral:snRNA from 1 species